AGCUUCUACCAGGGUUCGAUUCGAGCGCAGCGAGAAAGCGUUGCCGCAGGCAACGACCCGAAGGGCGAAGCGCGCAGCGCUGAGUCAUCCUUCCCCCACCACCA
rnacentral:sRNA from 1 species